rnacentral:rRNA from 1 species
GACGUAGGGCGCGAGCGUUGUCCGGAAUUAUUGGGCGUAAAGGGCUCGUAGGCGGUUUGUCGCGUCGGGAGUGAAAACCUUGGGCUUAACUCAGGGCUUGCUUUCGAUACGGGCAGACUAGAGGUAUGCAGGGGAGAACGGAAUUCCUGGUGUAGCGGUGAAAUGCGCAGAUAUCAGGAAGAACACCGGUGGCGAAGGCGGGUCUCUGGGCCGAUACUGACGCUGAGGAGCGAAAGCGUGGGGAGCGAACAGG